rnacentral:rRNA from 1 species
GAUGAACGCUAGCGGCAGGCCUAAUACAUGCAAGUCGAACGAGAUUGAGGAGCUUGCUCUUCAUGAAAGUGGCGCACGGGUGCGUAACGCGUAUGCAACCUACCUUAAUCAGGGGGAUAGCCUCUCGAAAGAGAGAUUAACACCGCAUAACAUUAUUAUAUGGCAUCAUAUGAUAAUCAAAUAUUUAUAGGAUUAAGAUGGGCAUGCGUGACAUUAGUUAGUUGGCGGGGUAACGGCCCACCAAGACGAUGAUGUCUAGGGGAUCUGAGAGGAUGACCCCCCACACUGGUACUGAGACACGGACCAGACUCCUAGUGGAGGCAGCAGUAAGGAAUAUUUGUCAAUGGGCGCAAGCCUGAACCAGCCAUGCCGCGUGCAGGAAGACGGCCCUACGGGUUGUAAACUGCUUUUAUACUGGAAUAAACCUACUUACGUGUAAGUAGCUGAAUGUACAGUAAGAAUAAGGAUCGGCUAACUCCGUGCCAGCAGCCGCCGUAAAAC